GGGGAUUUAGCUCAGUGGUUAGAGCGCUUGCCUAGCAAGCACAAGGUCCUGGGUUCGGUCCCCAGCUCCG
rnacentral:tRNA from 1 species